AGAGUUUGAUCCUGGCUCAGGAUGAACGCUAGCGACAGGCUUAACACAUGCAAGUCGAGGGGCAGCGGGGUAGGAAGCUUGCUUUCUGCCGCCGGCGACCGGCGCACGGGUGAGUAACACGUAUGCAACCUGGCCGUGACAGAUGGAUAACCGGGAGAAAUCCCGCCUAAUACAACAUAAUGCCGGGAGGGGACAUCCCCUGCCGGCCAAAGGGGGCGACCCCGGUCACGGAUGGGCAUGCGGCGCAUUAGGUAGUUGGUGGGGCAACGGCCCACCAAGCCGACGAUGCGUAGGGGUUCUGAGAGGAAGGUCCCCCACAUUGGAACUGAGACACGGUCCAAACUCCUACGGGAGGCAGCAGUGAGGAAUAUUGGUCAAUGGCCGGAAGGCUGAACCAGCCAAGUCGCGUGAGGGAAUAAGGCCCUACGGGUCGUAAACCUCUUUUGCCAGGGAGCAAUGCCGUCCACGUGUGGACGGAAGGAGAGUACCUGGAGAAAAAGCAUCGGCUAACUCCGUGCCAGCAGCCGCGGUAAUACGGAGGAUGCGAGCGUUAUCCGGAUUUAUUGGGUUUAAAGGGUGCGUAGGCGGCCUGCCAAGUCAGCGGUAAAAUUGCGGGGCUCAACCCCGUACAGCCGUUGAAACUGCCGGGCUCGAGUGGGCGAGAAGUAUGCGGAAUGCGUGGUGUAGCGGUGAAAUGCAUAGAUAUCACGCAGAACCCCGAUUGCGAAGGCAGCAUACCGGCGCCCGACUGACGCUGAGGCACGAAAGUGCGGGGAUCAAACAGGAUUAGAUACCCUGGUAGUCCGCACAGUAAACGAUGAAUG
rnacentral:rRNA from 1 species